GGGUUGUGAGGUUAAGCGACUAAGCGUACACGGUGGAUGCCCUGGCAGUCAGAGGCGAUGAAGGACGUGCUAAUCUGCGAUAAGCGUCGGUAAGGUGAUAUGAACCGUUAUAACCGGCGAUUUCCGAAUGGGGAAACCCAGUGUGAUUCGUCACACUAUCAUUAACUGAAUCCAUAGGUUAAUGAGGCGAACCGGGGGAACUGAAACAUCUAAGUACCCCGAGGAAAAGAAAUCAACCGAGAUUCCCCCAGUAGCGGCGAGCGAACGGGGAGCAGCCCAGAGCCUGAAUCAGUGUGUGUGUUAGUGGAAGCGUCUGGAAAGGCGUGCGAUACAGGGUGACAGCCCCGUACACAAAAAUGCACAUACUGUGAGCUCGAUGAGUAGGGCGGGACACGUGGUAUCCUGUCUGAAUAUGGGGGGACCAUCCUCCAAGGCUAAAUACUCCUGACUGACCGAUAGUGAACCAGUACCGUGAGGGAAAGGCGAAAAGAACCCCGGCGAGGGGAGUGAAAAAGAACCUGAAACCGUGUACGUACAAGCAGUGGGAGCACGCUUAGGCGUGUGACUGCGUACCUUUUGUAUAAUGGGUCAGCGACUUAUAUUCUGUAGCAAGGUUAACCGAAUAGGGGAGCCGAAGGGAAACCGAGUCUUAACUGGGCGUUAAGUUGCAGGGUAUAGACCCGAAACCCGGUGAUCUAGCCAUGGGCAGGUUGAAGGUUGGGUAACACUAACUGGAGGACCGAACCGACUAAUGUUGAAAAAUUAGCGGAUGACUUGUGGCUGGGGGUGAAAGGCCAAUCAAACCGGGAGAUAGCUGGUUCUCCCCGAAAGCUAUUUAGGUAGCGCCUCGUGAAUUCAUCUCCGGGGGUAGAGCACUGUUUCGGCAAGGGGGUCAUCCCGACUUACCAACCCGAUGCAAACUGCGAAUACCGGAGAAUGUUAUCACGGGAGACACACGGCGGGUGCUAACGUCCGUCGUGAAGAGGGAAACAACCCAGACCGCCAGCUAAGGUCCCAAAGUCAUGGUUAAGUGGGAAACGAUGUGGGAAGGCCCAGACAGCCAGGAUGUUGGCUUAGAAGCAGCCAUCAUUUAAAGAAAGCGUAAUAGCUCACUGGUCGAGUCGGCCUGCGCGGAAGAUGUAACGGGGCUAAACCAUGCACCGAAGCUGCGGCAGCGACGCUUAUGCGUUGUUGGGUAGGGGAGCGUUCUGUAAGCCUGUGAAGGUGUGCUGUGAGGUAUGCUGGAGGUAUCAGAAGUGCGAAUGCUGACAUAAGUAACGAUAAAGCGGGUGAAAAGCCCGCUCGCCGGAAGACCAAGGGUUCCUGUCCAACGUUAAUCGGGGCAGGGUGAGUCGACCCCUAAGGCGAGGCCGAAAGGCGUAGUCGAUGGGAAACAGGUUAAUAUUCCUGUACUUGGUGUUACUGCGAAGGGGGGACGGAGAAGGCUAUGUUGGCCGGGCGACGGUUGUCCCGGUUUAAGCGUGUAGGCUGGUUUUCCAGGCAAAUCCGGAAAAUCAAGGCCGAGGCGUGAUGACGAGGCACUACGGUGCUGAAGCAACAAAUGCCCUGCUUCCAGGAAAAGCCUCUAAGCAUCAGGUAACAUCAAAUCGUACCCCAAACCAACACAGGUGGUCAGGUAGAGAAUACCAAGGCGCUUGAGAGAACUCGGGUGAAGGAACUAGGCAAAAUGGUGCCGUAACUUCGGGAGAAGGCACGCUGAUACGUAGGUGAAGCGACUUGCUCGUGGAGCUGAAAUCAGUCGAAGAUACCAGCUGGCUGCAACUGUUUAUUAAAAACACAGCACUGUGCAAACACGAAAGUGGACGUAUACGGUGUGACGCCUGCCCGGUGCCGGAAGGUUAAUUGAUGGGGUUAGCGCAAGCGAAGCUCUUGAUCGAAGCCCCGGUAAACGGCGGCCGUAACUAUAACGGUCCUAAGGUAGCGAAAUUCCUUGUCGGGUAAGUUCCGACCUGCACGAAUGGCGUAAUGAUGGCCAGGCUGUCUCCACCCGAGACUCAGUGAAAUUGAACUCGCUGUGAAGAUGCAGUGUACCCGCGGCAAGACGGAAAGACCCCGUGAACCUUUACUAUAGCUUGACACUGAACAUUGAGCCUUGAUGUGUAGGAUAGGUGGGAGGCUUUGAAGUGUGGACGCCAGUCUGCAUGGAGCCGACCUUGAAAUACCACCCUUUAAUGUUUGAUGUUCUAACGUGGACCCGUAAUCCGGGUUGCGGACAGUGUCUGGUGGGUAGUUUGACUGGGGCGGUCUCCUCCUAAAGAGUAACGGAGGAGCACGAAGGUUGGCUAAUCCUGGUCGGACAUCAGGAGGUUAGUGCAAUGGCAUAAGCCAGCUUGACUGCGAGCGUGACGGCGCGAGCAGGUGCGAAAGCAGGUCAUAGUGAUCCGGUGGUUCUGAAUGGAAGGGCCAUCGCUCAACGGAUAAAAGGUACUCCGGGGAUAACAGGCUGAUACCGCCCAAGAGUUCAUAUCGACGGCGGUGUUUGGCACCUCGAUGUCGGCUCAUCACAUCCUGGGGCUGAAGUAGGUCCCAAGGGUAUGGCUGUUCGCCAUUUAAAGUGGUACGCGAGCUGGGUUUAGAACGUCGUGAGACAGUUCGGUCCCUAUCUGCCGUGGGCGCUGGAGAACUGAGGGGGGCUGCUCCUAGUACGAGAGGACCGGAGUGGACGCAUCACUGGUGUUCGGGUUGUCAUGCCAAUGGCACUGCCCGGUAGCUAAAUGCGGAAGAGAUAAGUGCUGAAAGCAUCUAAGCACGAAACUUGCCCCGAGAUGAGUUCUCCCUGACCCUUUAAGGGUCCUGAAGGAACGUUGAAGACGACGACGUUGAUAGGCCGGGUGUGUAAGCGCAGCGAUGCGUUGAGCUAACCGGUACUAAUGAACCGUGAGGCUUAACCUUACAACGCCGAAGGUGUUU
rnacentral:rRNA from 1 species